rnacentral:tRNA from 1 species
AGCCCUGUAUCCCAAUUGGCAGAGGAAUCCGACUUAAAAUCGGCUAGUGUGGGUUCGAAUCCCACCAGGGCUACCA